rnacentral:lncRNA from 1 species
CUAAGCAUGAAGAACCCAACAAUGGCUUUCUAAAAUUCGGCACUUUCAUAGCUUGAUUGAGGUUAGUUUUGUUUCGUUUUUUUUAUUUAUAAUUUUUACGUUUUUGAGAUCGUUGCUUUGUGUACUACAAGACCCAUGCUUUAAUUUUAAAAUUUGAUGGUGAUUUUGAGAUAUGUCAUUGAUGAAUGUUUGAGCUUUUCGAUAGUUGAUGAUGAAAUAUGAAAGAUGGGUGAAAGAUUAAAAUGUUUUGUCUUUAAAUUUUUAGUGAAAUUGAGUAAAUAGGGCUAAAUUGUGAAAUUUAAAUUUUUGGGGACUAAAAUGUGAAAUAAAUGAAAUGUGUGGACUUGUAUGAGAACCAUGAAUAUUCGGCCCUUGUGUGGUAUGGGCAAAUUUUGUGUAAAUUGUGUUGUAUGCAAUAGGGAGUAAAUUGCAAAAAGUGUAAAUAUUAGGGGCAAAAUAGUAAUUUGCCAAAUUAUGUGUUUUUGGACUAAAUUGAAUGUGUUAAUAAAUAAAUUAUCUCAUUUUGAAUAUAUUUAGAUCGAGAACCAAAGAAAUCAGAGUUAGAUCAGGGAAAAGCUAAAUUAGUCAAAUAAUCGUCCGACUUCGAUUUUCCAUCGUCCGAGGUAAGUCUAUUAGUAAUUUAAUGUUAUUAAAUCAGCAUAUAUAUAUGUAUAUGUAUAUCUAUUGUAUAUUUGAUGAGCUAUAAUUAAAAAUAUAUGAAUUGAAAUUAGUUAAGUAUGAAUGUUAUAUAUAUGCAUAAAUGAAGUUCGAAUAUAUGUAAAUAUAUAUGUAUAUCUAUUGUAUAUUUGAUGAGCUAUAAUUGAAAGUAUAUAAUUUGAAAUUAGUUAAGUAUGAAUGUUAUAUAUAUGCAUAAAUGAAGUUCGAAUAUGUAUAUAUGAAUAUGUAUAAGAUCUUGAGUUUAAUUAAAGGUAUGGAUGAUAUAUUUAUAUAUAUAAGGUUUGAAUAUAUAUGUAUAUGCAUGUAUAAGUUUUUGAAUGGAAUUAAAAGUAUGAAUUCUAUAUUUUCAUGCAUAUGUGUGAGGUUCGAAUAUAUAGUUAUGUGUAUAUAUAUAAGUUUUUGAAAUGAAUGUAAAGUAUGGACUUUACAUAUGCAUGUGUGUGGUUCGAAUAGAUAUGAAUACAUAUACAAAUACUUGAGUUGGAUUAAAAGUAUAAUUUGUAAAUGCUUGUAUGCUUCGAACAUGGAUUACAAAUUUUCUGGAGAUAAAGUUGAGGUUGUGAAUUAUACAUAAAUGUUAUGAACAUGUGUUGCUAUUAAGAAAUGUACGAGGAAUCAUUUUUGUAUCUAUGAAAUUGAAAUUUUCAGGCUAAGCGCCUAGCAGGCUUAAUGCCGGUGAAUUUUUCGGACUUUACGUCUAGCAGGCUAAGUGCCGGUGAUCUGAAACAGGCUAUAAGUCUAGCAGGCUAAGUGCCGGUGAUCUGAAUCAGGUUAUAAACCUAGCAGGCUAAGUGCCGGUGAUCUGAAUCAGGCUAUAAGCUUAGCAGGUUAAGUGCCGAUGAAUAUGUUAAAUUAAGUGAUUAUAUGCAUUUGAUAUAUAUAAAUAUGUAAAUGAUUUUGGGUUAUAUAAUGGAUAAGUAUAUGAACAUUUAUUUAUAUGUAUUUGAUGAGCAUAUAAAUGUUUGGAUCUAUGUGUUUAGUGAAUAGGCACAUAUAUAUUGGUUGUUAUGAAGAUUAUUGAAUAUACAUGUAGGCAUUCGGCACAUGUGGAUUAGAAGUAUAAAUGUGCAUUUGGUUCAUGAAGUUGAUAAGUAAAAAUAUAAGCUUUUGACAUAUGUAUUGAAAAGAUCAUAGAAAUGCAUUCGAUGAAAUCCAAAUGAUAAGUAUAUUAGAAAUUAGUAUAUGCAAUUAAUGAUUAUGUCUGUAACUUGAUUAUAAGCAUAUAAUGUUUAUACAUAUGUUCGUUUAUAUGUAUUUUUAAUUUGCUAUAAACUUGCUAAGCUAUAAAAGCUUACUUUGAUUGUUUUUGGCCAUUUGUUUUAUAGAUUUUGGAGUCGCGUUACGAGCUCGGGGAUCAUCAGCAUAGUCUAUCACACUAUCGGCUUCUUUUGGUAUUUUGUUAAGUUGAUUUCGAUUUUAUGACAUGUAUAGACUUGAGUUUGUUUUUGGUUAGUUUUGGAUCAUAAAAUAUAAAUAGCCAUGCGAAAAUGGUUUAAUUUCCAUGUUUGUGAUCAGUUUGGUUUAAAAAAAAUGUUUUGUUCAUGAUCAUUUUGUUUAAAUUGGGUUUUAUGUGUUUUCG